rnacentral:rRNA from 1 species
UGAGGAAUCUUGCGCAAUGGGGGAAACCCUGACGCAGCAACGCCGCGUGAGUGAAGAAGGCUUUCGGGUCGUAAAGCUCUGUCGGGUGGGAAGAAACGUAUGUGGGCUAAUAUCCUGCGUACUUGACGGUACCGCCAAAGGAAGCACCGGCUAACUCCGUGCCAGCAGCCGCGGUAAUACGGGGGGUGCAAGCGUUGUUCGGAAUUAUUGGGCGUAAAGAGCGUGUAGGCGGCGGGAUAAGUCAGAUGUGAAAGCCCUGGGCUCAACCCAGGAAGUGCAUUUGAAACUGUUUCGCUAGAGUACUGGAGAGGGAAGAGGAAUUCCUGGUGUAGAGGUGAAAUUCGUAGAUAUCAGGAGGAACACCGGUGGCGAAGGCGACUUCCUGGCCAGAUACUGACGCUGAGACGCGAAAGCGUGGGGAGCAAACAGG